rnacentral:tRNA from 1 species
GGCCCCAUCGUCUAAUGGUUAGGACACGAGCUUUUCAAGCUUGUAACCCGGGUUCGACUCCCGGUGGGGUCA